UAAAUAAAAGUUAGGCCACCUUCUACCUAAUAAUCUUUAUAGGAAUCGUCAUGUGGGCCUGGACUUAUGUGGCAGCAAGAGGGAGUAAGUAAGGAUCAACAAGUCAUCAAUACACACAUAUACACACAUCCAUGAAAUAUAUAGAGAAGGGGAAGGGGAGUUUCAUAUAAUUACACCUUGGGAAAGCUAGCUAGUUCUUAUAUGAGCAGCAACAUUAUUGUGUCUCCAGCGGCGAAUAAUCCCAUCAAGUUAGUAGAAAUUUAUGAAAUAAUCUUGUACUUCAGUUCAAGUUCAGGUAGACAGAUCGACGGUCCUCCUCAGUAGAGUGCCAGCUCAGCGGUUGCUUGAUGUGCACCAUUCCUUCCGGAGUGCAAAAUCGAGCCGGUAUGCCUUGUAUAUAUAUGUUUUGGGUAUGGCGGGGCCUUGGCCUGACCUUAUGACAGUCAUGUUACUCUUAGUCGUUGGUAGACAUGUGUCUAGUGUAUAGUUGUGUUGUAUGGCCUUGUCGGCCCAUGUUUUGCUAUACAACUUCCAUGGCGGCCUCGUCGACCCAUAUACAUAUAUAUGUAUAUGCAUGUUGUAUCCA